AUUAGUAUUUAGUAUUUUUACAUAGUUAAAAACAUGUUUGGAGAGAAACUUUACAGUUGAAGUCAGAAGUUUCCAUAGACUUUGUUAGUAUUUGGUAGCAUUUCCUUGUUUAACUUGUGUCAAAUGUUUCAUGUAGCCUUCCACAAGCUUCUCACAAUAAGUUGCAGGAAUCUUGGUUUGUUCCUCCAGAUAGAGCUGGAGUAACUGAGUCAGGUUUGUAGCCCUCCUUGCGUGCACAAAUGUUCAAUUCAGGGCUUUGUAAUGGUCACUCCAAUACCUUGACUUUUUUGUCCUUAAGCUAUUUUGCCACAACUUUGGAAGUAUGCUUGGAGUCAUUGUCCAUCUGGAAAACCAAUUGCGACCAAGCUUUAACUCCCUGGCUGAUGAUUCGAGAUACUGCUAUAAUAUAUCCACAUAAUUUUCUUUCCUUGUGAUGCCCCCGUGUUUCCUGGUUGGGAUCGUAUUGUUCAGCUUGCAAGGCUGGCUCUGGGUAACAGUAAAUACAAAUAAUUGGACCCUGAAAACAUCCCCUGAUCUUUGCAGUAUAUAAAUUUACUGUUCAUAGUUGUUUGAGUGACUUAAACCAGGGUAGCCUCCAAUUUCCUAAAAGGAGGAAGCAGACAGGAAUACGUGCUUCACUGGGUGUUGCCUGUUACCAGCCUAAGCCACUAAGUUACUUGAUUUAUAAUCGUAAGACCAGGUAUUAUUUGCGUUUGGCAUCUGUUCACCAAUUUAUCAAGUGGAAGAUUUCCUAAUACUUUCAAUUUCCCAACAAUGCUGUGCUGUUUAUGUAAAUGACACGACAUCUGCUCCUGGACCUGUAUAUAAGGAAAGCUGAGCAUUCAGAACAACACUACAACAACCUCCUCGACCAUCUGCGAGACAGUCUGCUAAAGUUGUGAAGACUUGACGGUGUGAUCACUGAAACCAUGCUGAAGGUAGCACUUGUGCUUGGAUGCCUCCUGAGCCUCAUUCUGGCCAAUCCUAUGGACAUGGAACACCAACGAGUUGCCCGCUCAGGCUCUGAGUCCAAUGAGCAUUCCUCAAACAUGUUUCCUACGCAACAGUUGUUCCAGCUGCUCCUUAACCUCCUCCAGCAGCCAUCACCUGUUACUGCUCCACCGGCAGCAGCUGCCGCUAAUACCAAAUAAAAUCAGCAGUCUA